AUUGGGGUCCAAAGGACUCUAUUCUAGGUGUUCUCAACUGAGAACACCCCGAGUUGCCUGUCCAGUUGAGUAAAUAGGGGCAAAGUUGUUGUUUGCCGGUUGUUGAUGCGUCUCCAGUGAACUUCUCAUGCUGUUCUUCAUGUCAGCCUAAAGGUUGACUGGAUAAUGUUGUAGAGAUGUUCAUAUUGAAAGGCUCCAUGAAGGUUGAAUGUUGGUAGUGCACUGCAGUAAGUUUCUUAGGUUCCUUCAAACCACUGUUUAGUAGCUGUAAUUCAAAGUAGUAUCUGGUGAGAUUGCCAUGUUGUUUCAGUAGUAUUUUUGUAUUCUUGGAGGCAUGUAUAGAUGAAUACUUGGUGCAAAUGGUACAGUUUCACCAGAUUAUAUAUUAAUAUAGUGAACUUGAUUUUCAAAUUUAGGCUAAAGAACUAGGAAGACCAGCUCAUCCACAUGAGCUUCUGAAGAAGACUCAUGUCA
rnacentral:lncRNA from 1 species